CCUACGGGUGGCAGCAGUGAGGAAUAUUGGUCAAUGGACGCAAGUCUGAACCAGCCAUGCCGCGUGCAGGAAGACGGCUCUAUGAGUUGUAAACUGCUUUUGUACGAGGGUAAACGUAGAUACGCGUAUCUGUCGGAAAGUAUCGUACGAAUAAGGAUCGGCUAACUCCGUGCCAGCAGCCGCGGUAAUACGGAGGAUUCAAGCGUUAUCCGGAUUUAUUGGGUUUAAAGGGUGCGUAGGCGGUCCGUUAAGUCAGCGGUAAACUUGCGGGGCUCAACCCCGUCGAGCCGUUGAAACUGGCAGACGUGAGUUGGCGAGAAGUACGCGGAAUGCGCGGUGUAGCGGUGACAUGCAUAGAUAUCGCGCAGAACUCCGAUUGCGAAGGCAGCGUACCGGCGCCAGACUGACGCUGAGGCACGAAAGCGUGGGGAUCGAACAGGAUUAGAUACCCUAGUAGUC
rnacentral:rRNA from 1 species